rnacentral:rRNA from 1 species
CUGGCGACGUGCCUAACACAUGCAAGUCGAACGGAGAGGACAUGAAGUAUUUCGGUACGGAAUGCUCUCUUAGUGGCGAACGGGUGAGUAACACGUGGGCAACCUGCCCCAGACUGGGGGAUAACAUUGUGAAAACAGUGCUAAUACCGCAUGACAGGGUUCCGGGCAUCCGGGACCCUUGAAAGGAGAAAUCCGGUCAGGGAUGGGCCCGCGUCCAAUUAGCUAGUUGCGGGGUAACGGCCCACCAAGGCGACGAUUGGUAGCCGAACUGAGAGGUUGAUCGGCCACAUUGGGACUGAGACACGGCCCAGACUCCUACGGGAGGCAGCAGUGGGGAAUAUUGGGCAAUGGGCGAAAAAGCCUGACCCAGCGACGCCGCGUGAAGGAUGAAGGUCUUCGGAUUGUAAACUUCUUUGAUCAGGGAAGAAAGAAAUGACGGUACCUGAAAAACAAGCCACGGCUAACUACGUGCCAGCCGCCGC